CGAAGGUGUUGUAGAAAACUAACAUCAUGGUAACAUUGGUACUAUAUUUUCAAGAGAGAUAAAGCAGAUUGUUAGGUAAUGAGUAGUUUGUGAACCAAUAAUGCAAAGAGAUUCUAUUUUGCCUCCCCAACCCCACAGCUCAGGUUUUUCUUCUCCUUUGGGCAACUGCUUAAAUUCAGAGGCAGCUACCAAAAGGAAACGUCUCUCUACCCCCUACUGUUUCUUCUGUGCAAAAGAAUGUAAAAUAUGAGGCUUCUCUUUCGCAUGUAGGCCUGAGAAGUUUUGACAAGAAUGUGUAUGCAGGGAGAAAUGACUGGUGAAAGAAUUUAGAAAGAAUGUAUGGGGACAAAAAGGAAUCACAUGAGCUGAUUUAAAUUCUUCUUGUGACAAGGGGUGUGUGCAAACAUGAAGGAACUAGGGUUUUGUUUGUAAAUGUUUAUCGGUUUGGGAGAGGCAAAGAUCACAGACUGUGAUAUUCUUGGGAUAAACAGCUCAAUAUGUUGGUCCCAAGCGACACCAUGUGGAAUUGAGAAGAGGGCCAUUCUCAUCUAAACACCCAUCGGAGCCCAGAGAAAACAGAAGAAAAGUUGCAACAGAGUGAAAAAUCAGGAAAACCUCAUCGAGAUAGAUAUUCUGCCAGAGACAAAACGAAACCUCAUCGAGAUAGAUAUUCUGCCAGAGAAAAAUGAGACAUCAGAUAUGUGUGAUCACAGGUCAUAGACUCAGUGAAGUGCCACUGUCACAAUGCUCUCAUGCCAAACCUUGACUGCAAAGCUGAGAUGUUAAUAUGGAACACCUGAGAGGGCUGGCACUUCAGCGUCCUUAUUCCUCCAGAACCACACCACAAAAGUCACCUUCUCCCCAGACAGAUUCUCUACAAAAUGCCUUGCAGCCGAGGUGUGGUGGAAAGAAUAUUGUAUUUGGAAUAAAAAAUUUUUGAUUUUGCA